AACAGCAAGUGGUGAGUCCUGGGGCUAGCUGGUUUGGGAAAUAUUCUGGGUCCCAGCCACAGUAACUUUCAUCUCCCAGAUAUUUUGGGGUAUUGGGAACCUGAGUAAAAGAAGAUUGAGGGAAACUGCUGAUAAAGAAAGCAAGAUCUAGCAGAUCUAGCUAUGUUGCUGAGAUGGGACAAGAUUGAAAAAGCAUAAGCUUGGAGCUCACCAGACUUUUCACCAUGUAUUCCUGACAUUAGUAGGAUGUUAUCACAUUAUCAUUGUUGUCAGAAUCAAUUUCUUUUGCUAAUGGUUUUGUUUAUGAGAUGAAAGGCAAGUUGGUAAGUAUAUAAAGGAAAUCGAAGAGAAUAGUCAGAAAAGCCAAAGGAAGAAAUGAGAAGAAAUAUGGGGAUGAUAUGAUGGUCUAUAAACUUUUUAUGCUGGAAGUUUGAAUUUAUCCAUCUCACAGUAUAAUUCAUUUUUUUUUCUUCUGACCACCAGUCAGAAUAAUGCAGCAGCAGCAGAGACAGAGGAAGUACAAAGAAAGCUAUGGUAACUGGUGAGGACAAAAACUACAAAUAUGUUGAAAUCAAUAGAUAAACAUCUUUGAAAAAUAGCUUUUUAAAAAUUCCCUCUCAAAAUAAUUGAUUUUUUUUGUUAGCAAAAAUCUGCUUUCUUAUUUUUUCAACCUUCUACCACAUCCCAUUUUUAAUUUAAUACUCAUAUAUGCACUAUAUAAUUUUUUUCUCUCACGUUCUCCUCAUACAUCACCCCUUGUUUUCCCAAAGAACACCCCUUCCAUUUGUGCUCAAUAGUCAACUAGUUAUGUAUAAAAAGACUGAGACAAGAGCAAAUGGUUGCAAACAGUCUGAGCCUUAAAAACUGUCAUCUCACAGACUGGGAAGGUUUGACUGCUGAGUAAAAACAUGGAACAGCCUUUUACUAUCAAGGAAUCCUAACACAGCUGUGAUGACCAGACUCCUUCUAGGCUGCUGCUUUAGGAAAGCAGCUAGCACACAAUUGAGGAUGUGAAGCAGCUUCAAUUGCUAGCUAUGGGCUCUUUUUGGAGAGCAAAGAGAGGAGAGCUAUAGUCUUCAGUCCCCUGAGAGACCCACAACAGGGAGCAAGAUCAUUUGAAGGAUAAUAAAUCAUCUUGAAUAAGAGAAUCAAAAACUUAAGGAAGAACACAAUUCCUUGAUAAACAAAAUUGGGUAAAUGGAAGCUAAUGACAUUUUAAGACACCAAGAAAUAAUAAAACAAAAUCAAAAGAAUAAAUAAGAAAAUACAAGAGAAAGUGAAACGUCAUCAGAAAAACAACAGGUAUGGAGAACAAAUCAAGGAUAAGUAGUUUAAGAAGAGUCAAACUAUUUGAAAAUUACAAUUAAAAUGAAUCUUGAUACAAUAUUACCAAAAACAAUCAAGGAAAAUUGUGCUAAUGUUCUAUAAGAGGAAGGCAAAGCAGAAAUAGAAAAAAAAAAUCCACUAAUCACCACUUCAACUAGAUCUCAGGACGAAAACUAAAGAAUAUCAUAUCCAGCUUUCAAUACUUCCAGGUUAAGAAGAAAGCAUGGGAAGAAACAACAAUAACAAAAUUCAAUAUAAUGGAGUUAUAAUAAGAAUUCUACAAUAUCAACAGCCAUUAUAUUGAAGGACAUAAGUAUUGAAAUAUGUUUUGUAAAGUAAAAGACUUUAAAUUACAACCAAAGGUAAUUUAACCAAAAAUGCUAAUUAUUAUCUUGAAUGAAAAAAAAUUAUUCAAAGAUCUCAAAGACUUCCAGGUUUUUGUGACAAAAAUCUAGUAACUUAAGGUAAAUAUUAA